rnacentral:rRNA from 1 species
UUUGCCAUAGCGUGUGCAGGUACAUGUCGAGCUCGAGCGAACAGAAGGGAGCUUGCUCCCGGAUGUUAGCGGCGGACGGGUGAGUAACACGUGGGUAACCUGCCUGUAAGACUGGGAUAACUCCGGGAAACCGGAGCUAAUACCGGAUAGUUCCUUGAACCGCAUGGUUCAAGGAUGAAAGACGGUUUCGGCUGUCACUUACAGAUGGACCCGCGGCGCAUUAGCUAGUUGGUGGGGUAAUGGCUCACCAAGGCGACGAUGCGUAGCCGACCUGAGAGGGUGAUCGGCCACACUGGGACUGAGACACGGCCCAGACUCCUACGGGAGGCAGCAGUAGGGAAUCUUCCGCAAUGGACGAAAGUCUGACGGAGCAACGCCGCGUGAGUGAUGAAGGUUUUCGGAUCGUAAAGCUCUGUUGUUAGGGAAGAACAAGUGCGAGAGUAACUGCUCGCACCUUGACGGUACCUAACCAGAAAGCCACGGCUAACUACGUGCCAGCAGCCGCGGUAAUACGUAGGUGGCAAGCGUUGUCCGGAAUUAUUGGGCGUAAAGGGCUCGCAGGCGGUUUCUUAAGUCUGAUGUGAAAGCCCCCGGCUCAACCGGGGAGGGUCAUUGGAAACUGGGAAACUUGAGUGCAGAAGAGGAGAGUGGAAUUCCACGUGUAGCGGUGAAAUGCGUAGAGAUGUGGAGGAACACCAGUGGCGAAGGCGACUCUCUGGUCUGUAACUGACGCUGAGGAGCGAAAGCGUG